rnacentral:rRNA from 1 species
UACGUAGGGUGCAAGCGUUAAUCGGAAUUACUGGGCGUAAAGCGUGCGCAGGCGGUGAUGUAAGACAGAUGUGAAAUCCCCGGGCUCAACCUGGGAACUGCAUUUGUGGCUGCAUCGCUGGAGUGCGGCAGAGGGGGAUGGAAUUCCGCGUGUAGCAGUGAAAUGCGUAGAUAUGCGGAGGAACACCGAUGGCGAAGGCAAUCCCCUGGGCCUGCACUGACGCUCAUGCACGAAAGCGUGGGGAGCAAACAGG